AGGAGCUUGCUCCUUUGACGUUAGCGGCGGACGGGUGAGUAACACGUGGAUAACCUACCUAUAAGACUGGGAUAACUUCGGGAAACCGGAGCUAAUACCGGAUAACAUAUUGAACCGCAUGGUUCAAUAGUGAAAGGCGGCUUUGCUGUCACUUAUAGAUGGAUCCGCGCCGUAUUAGCUAGUUGGUAAGGUAACGGCUUACCAAGGCAACGAUACGUAGCCGACCUGAGAGGGUGAUCGGCCACACUGGAACUGAGACACGGUCCAGACUCCUACGGGAGGCAGCAGUAGGGAAUCUUCCGCAAUGGGCGAAAGCCUGACGGAGCAACGCCGCGUGAGUGAUGAAGGUCUUCGGAUCGUAAAACUCUGUUAUCAGGGAAGAACAAAUGUGUAAGUAACUGUGCACAUCUUGACGGUACCUGAUCAGAAAGCCACGGCUAACUACGUGCCAGCAGCCGCGGUAAUACGUAGGUGGCAAGCGUUAUCCGGAAUUAUUGGGCGUAAAGCGCGCGUAGGCGGUUUUUUAAGUCUGAUGUGAAAGCCCACGGCUCAACCGUGGAGGGUCAUUGGAAACUGGAAAACUUGAGUGCAGAAGAGGAAAGUGGAAUUCCAUGGGUUAGCCG
rnacentral:rRNA from 1 species